rnacentral:tRNA from 1 species
GGGCCCGUGGGGUAGAUUGGUCGAUCCUUCGGCGUUCGGGACGCCGGUACCCGAAUUCAAAUUUCGGCGGGCCCA